CGUAGUAAUCGUAGUAUGGUGUUUGUGUUUUUACGAUUAGUUUCUAAUAAUUUUGAUACACACUUAUCUCUACAAACUAAUACCUUCUAUCACUCGAUUAGGUUGCUUUUAACUCUGGUGACUGGAAUCUGAUUUGCAUUGUGUUUCGGAUUUGAUUUGUAUAGCAUUAUGAGGUGCUUCAACUGCGGAAUAGCCAUGGAAUUUACUUUGAAGCUGUUUUAGUGUACUAUUGUAAUUGUGUCAUGUUAUGACAAUAAUCUGAUGCGUUGGUUGGCCAAGACACCAAAACAUAUUCAAGCUCAAGCAAGAUUCUUAGACAACAUAUUAAUAACAAUUGAAGAAUAUUAAAAUAAUGUAACAAAAGCCGCAGCCACACCAGCGCAAAUUGAAAAAAUAUGAAUCUUAAUGAUUAUAUUGAUGUAGAGAUGGUUGACUAUUGGUUAGAUUACUGCAUUGCUGUAGGUACAAGAAUUCUAUUGAUACUUUUCAUCGGGUGUAUGACGCUAAUUAACGAACUAGGGGAACCAUAUUUAUCUAGAAAGGCCCAAACUAAAAGGGAUGAAUGUAGCUCCGAGCAAUCAUCUCGAGACCUCCAGGCCACCGUGCCAGAGAACCCCGUCCCAGACGUCAUAAUAAAAAGAAACGACGAUAAGGGAACUUCGUAGAAAACUCUAGUUUCAUUUCCUCUAUAUUUCGAAUCUCUUAGAGAUAAGUACGCCAACACUAGGUUGAAGAGUAAUUAUUAUGUAAUCAUUUAUUUUAUUUAUAUUAAUACAAUGUAAUUCAACAAUA